CAAACUCCCAAGACUGUUUCUGGGUCAGACCAGCCAGAGCAGGAGGAGAGCGGUUGGUCUCUUUCUGAAGGUGUGAGCUCUGAUUCCUUGAGAAGAUGGAAAGAAAAGGUUCUGAAAUCCUCCUCUUGCUGGGAGCGGGUGGUGUGAAAUUCCUAGCAUAUUCAACAGGGCCCGGUGCGCUAGUGCUAGCCGUGGGCGCAGUGGCAAUAGGACUCGUAGGAAUUGGAGUCUUCUGCUGGAAUAAGGCCAGCGAAAACAAGAUCCAGAAAAUGUAUUGACACGAAUCCUUUCUAAUCCCCUGGACAAAAGGAGAAGGCUCCACCCUACUGGCGAAUGUGUGAAGCAACAUGCUAUACACAGUUUAUACUUUGAGUAUGAACAAAGUCAACUUUUGAGCAAAAUGAAAAUUAAUUAAAUACACAUGUAUUGAGUGCA